rnacentral:rRNA from 1 species
UACGUAGGGUGCGAGCGUUGUCCGGAAUUAUUGGGCGUAAAGAGCUCGUAGGCGGCUCGUUGCGUCGGCUGUGAAAACCCACAGCUUAACUGUGGGCCUGCAGCCGAUACGGGCGAGCUAGAGUUCGGUAGGGGAGACUGGAAUUCCUGGUGUAGCGGUGAAAUGCGCAGAUAUCAGGAGGAACACCGGUGGCGAAGGCGGGUCUCUGGGCCGAUACUGACGCUGAGGAGCGAAAGCGUGGGGAGCGAACAGG